GCAGAACUGAGAUGGGUAAAAGAGGAACUCGAGAAACUCCUUCAAGAGAAGAAAACUCACCUUAUGUUGUUAGAGGAAGAAAAGCAGCGAUCACGCAUACAGACAGAACAACUGGUGAACCAGCAGAUAAUGAUUGAUCGCCUUCGUGGCGAACUCAUGACCUUUCGGGGGACAGCCUCAGGGGCAACAGUGGAAGUGGGGGGGUCUGAGUACUCAGGCAAGAGACCCCCCAGUGUCCCUCUGAUCACACACAGCUGCAUGUGGAGGCCUCCCAGGAAGUGUGCCUAUAGACUGGAGAGGGUAAUGGCAGCUUUUAAAAUCCAUGGCCAACUCGUGCUGGCUGAAAUCGAGGAAAAAGAUGACGUGUACUGCCCGCUCUUAAGUGGGUCUGGGUGAGUGAAGCUUUUUGUUAGUGUAAAGCUUUUUAAUGACAUAUUUAAU
ensembl:lncRNA